CGAGUGACGUAACGCGUGAGCACGCGGGUAGUUAGGAUGUCAUAGAGUAUGUGAUUCAAUAGCAUAGUCUAAUGCUACCAAUGUUUGCAGGAUCAUGUUCGGAUUGGAGACUUUAAUUGGUUCUCCAAUGUAGAGUCCAAGUGACUAGAGUCCAAGGAGUGUUCAAGUUGGAGUCCAAUGCAGCCAAGAUGAUGUUUCUUUGGCUGCAGGUACUUCGGUAUAGUCGAUGGGUCGGUAGCAGUGUGCAUGGGAUAUUAUGACUGAAGCUCACCGCGACGGUUAUAAUUGUCGGACCACGGGUUGUCCACUAUUUUAUAGGUUUGGUAUGGCUUGUGACGUUUGUGUCACUUAUUAAUUGUUAAGCCAUUAUUUUUAUAGUGUUAAUAAGACUCAAACAGAUAGAUGUUAAAUGGCUCUUUGUUGUAAUUAAUUUGUGAUAGAUGUAUAAGUUGUAAUUUCCGCUAUUCAGAUUUA